rnacentral:rRNA from 1 species
CCUACGGGAGGCAGCAGUGAGGGAUAUUGGUCAAUGGGGGAAACCCUGAACCAGCAACGCCGCGUGAGGGAAGACGGUUUUCGGAUUGUAAACCUCUGUCCUCUGUGAAGAUAAUGACGGUAGCAGAGGAAUAAGCCUCGGCUAACUACGUGCCAGCAGCCGCGGUAAUACGUAGGAGGCGAGCGUUAUCCGGAAUGACUGGGCGUAAAGGGUGCGUAGGUGGUUUGGCAAGUUAGUAGCGUAACUCCAAGGCUCAACCUUGGAACUACUACUAAAACUGUUGGACUUGAGUGCAGGAGGGGCAACCGGAAUUCCUAGUGUAGCGGUGGAAUGCGUAGAUAUUAGGAGGAACACCAGUGGCGAAGGCGGGUUGCUAGACUGUAACUGACACUGAGGCACGAAAGCGUGGGGAGCAAACAGGAUUAGAUACCCGUGUAGUC